GGAGUAUUGCUAGGUAACAUGAGAGUAAUACUGAGUGUAAUGAAACUGUAGUAAUGGGGGCAGCCUUAGCCAUCUGCUGGGCAUGAGUGAGUGGAUGGCCCAACUCCGUUUGAACGGAAGAAACAACUGUCAGGCAGUUGAAGCUGUUGGCAUUAGAAGACUGAUUCUUGCAAGUGGCAGAAAUGGGACUUCUGGGGUCCUAUUAAUAUAGGGGAAGCAAAGUCAAAUGUCAGCCUUUAAUGAAUUCAGCAGAGAAGACAAGUGUGUAGGACUGAGUUUAGAAGACAAAUAUCAGCCUUCUUUUGGACAUGGCUGUUUACCUUUAAAAUAAGAUUGAUUGGGGAAUUAAUAUCUAACAGUCAAAAGUGUACCGUCUCCACUGAAAACACCGGACAGUCACUUCCUUUCUUCCUCCACGCCCCCAUUUCUUUCUAAUUUAUUCAAUUAAGUCUAUAAUUGACAAUG